AUUGAACGCUGGCGGCAGGCCUAACACAUGCAAGUCGAGCGAGCGGCGGACGGGUGAGUAAUGUCUGGGAAACUGCCUGAUGGAGGGGGAUAACUACUGGAAACGGUAGCUAAUACCGCAUACCAUCAGAUGUGCCCAGCUGGGAUUAGCUGGUUGGUGGGGUAAAGGCCUACCACGGCGACGAUCCGUAACUGGUCUGAGAGGAUGAUCAGUCACACUGGAACUGAGACCCGGUCCAGACUCCUCCGGGAGGAAGCAGUGGGGAACAUUGGACAAUGGGCGAAAGCCUGAUCCAGACAUGCCGCGUGUGUGAAGCAGGUCUUCGGAUUGUAAAGCACGUUAAGUUGGGAGGCGUUACCAACAGAAUAAGCACCGGCUAACUACGUGCCAGCAGCCGCGGUAAUUC
rnacentral:rRNA from 1 species